AUGGCCUCAAGGAAACUGUGCCACUACUUCCAAGCCCAUGAGAUCACGGGUGUCACUCGCUUCCCGUUGCAGAGGAUACUCCGAAACCCUGAGGCUACCGGCAGAAUAGUGGAGUGGGCUUUAGAGUUAUCCAGCUUUGGCCUGAAGUUUGAGAGCACAUCAACAAUCCAGAGCAGGGCAUUGGCAGAGUUUAUUGCAGAAUGGAUGCCAACCCCUAAUGAGGAAGUGCUGGAAACAGUUAUCCCCAGCAAGGAAGCGCCCCAAGAAUGGAUCAUGUAUUUUGAUGGUGCCUUUUCCCUACAAGGUGCGGGGGCUGGCGUGCUUCUCGUUGCCCCCUCCGAGGAGCACUUGAAGUACGUCGUCCAAAUGCACUUUGCCCAGGAAGAGGCGACUAACAAUACAACAGAGUAUGAAGGGCUCCUUGCCGGGCUCAGGAUUGCUGCAGAAUUGAGAAUCAAGAAGCUGAUCAUUCGAGGAGAUUCACAGCUUGUGGUGAGACAAGUCAACAAGGAUUACCAAAGUCCAUUGAUGGAGGCAUACAUUGAGGAAGUGAGAAGAUUGGAGGAGCGCUUUGACGGAUUGCAAACAGAGCACGUACCCCGUGCGGAAAACAGCAUAGCUGAUCAUCUGUGA
rnacentral:rRNA from 1 species